rnacentral:rRNA from 1 species
UAUAAUGCAGUCGAGCGGACAGAUGGGAGCUUGCUCCCUGAUGUUAGCGGCGGACGGGUGAGUAACACGUGGGUAACCUGCCUGUAAGACUGGGAUAACUCCGGGAAACCGGGGCUAAUACCGGAUGGUUGUUUGAACCGCAUGGUUCAAACAUAAAAGGUGGCUUCGGCUACCACUUACAGAUGGACCCGCGGCGCAUUAGCUAGUUGGUGAGGUAACGGCUCACCAAGGCAACGAUGCGUAGCCGACCUGAGAGGGUGAUCGGCCACACUGGGACUGAGACACGGCCCAGACUCCUACGGGAGGCAGCAGUAGGGAAUCUUCCGCAAUGGACGAAAGUCUGACGGAGCAACGCCGCGUGAGUGAUGAAGGU